GACGAACGCUGGCGGCGUGCUUAGCACAUGCAAGUCGAACGGAAAGGCCCUGCUUGCAGGGUACUCGAGUGGCGAACGGGUGAGUAACACGUGGGUGAUCUGCCCUGCACUUCGGGAUAAGCUUGGGAAACUGGGUCUAAUACCGGAUAGGAGCCAUCUUUAGUGUGGUGGUUGGAAAGUUUUUUCGGUGUAGGAUGAGCUCGCGGCCUAUCAGCUUGUUGGUGGGGUAAUGGCCUACCAAGGCGGCGACGGGUAGCCGGCCUGAGAGGGUGUACGGCCACAUUGGGACUGAGAUACGGCCCAGACUCCUACGGGAGGCAGCAAUGGGGAAUAUUGCACAAUGGGCGCAAGCCUGAUGCAGCGACGCCGCGUGGGGGAUGAAGGCCUUCGGGUUGUAAACUCCUUUCGCUAGGGACGAAGCUUUUUUGUGACGGUACCUAGAUAAGAAGCACCGGCUAACUACGUG
rnacentral:rRNA from 1 species